CUGUAAUGAUGAUCUCCAUGCGUGUCAACUGACUCCAGAGUCUUCUGUGCUCCUCUGUCACAUCUCAGCGUUCUGUUGGGUUGUGUAUGAGGUUCAGGGCUCUCUGGAGGUAUGAUCUGACCCCACUGAUCUGAACAA